UAAACACUGCCACGCCUGGGAAGACGGC
rnacentral:sRNA from 1 species